CUCCACCCAGAUGAGGGGUUCUUUGAUAGAGUUCCUUUUUCAUGAGUGCAAGCUGAGGAAGAAGAUAUAUAUGAAAACUGAAUGUUUGAAUUCUACCUUGUCAAGAUGGCAAAUGACCUGGCUACAGGAAUCGCUGGAGGCAUAAAGGUGAAAGAAUCACAAAGCUGGCAACAAUUUAGAAAUGUUUUAAGAAGAGAAUUAUUCAUCAACACAAUGAUUCAUGCUCACCAGUUUUCCAGAGGAGGGCCAGGUGCAAUGGCAUUUUGCAUGGAAGGACCUGAGCAACCAUUCAUUUGCUAUCACAUGUGACUGGGAGUGUGCACUGUUCUGGAUAGGUUAAUGAGCUAAGGACCAGUCUAUGGCUGUCCUCUUGGCUUAACCAGUUCCAGCCGCUCAGCAUUGUCUUCCUUCUUCUUCAGGGAAACAAGAUUGCAAAUGGGGAAAACUACAUGUGGAAGCACAGAGUUUGUUUGCACAGAAUGGAUAUGCAUAUCCUCCUGCACACACUGCUCUAUAUUAUGCUGCAAUGAAGGCUGGCAGGCUUUGCACUGUAGAGGAGGACAGCGAGGUUUCUGGACGCAUUUACAAAAUUUAUUUCUCCAGUUUCAAAUCAGCCAUUCAGGAAGCUCCAUCUCCUGCAAAGAUCAGCUCCAUUGUGGUUGUGUUCCUAGGAAACCUAGCUGUGGAUGAACAAGCAUUUACUCUUAAAGAAGAAAGUACUACUCUGCCUAAGGAUUAUUAUUAGCUAUGUGUUUAACUAAGCCCAAGUCAUUUUUUUUAAUGUGCAAUAGAACAUGCUGUUCUACUGGAAAAGAUAGAAAAUAGUAUGUGUGACAGUAGAAGUACAGCAUCAACAAAGUAUUCAAAAGUACUUAUGGAUUUGAGUUUUACGAAAGGUGGGUAUAUAUCUUCAGUUAUAGGCUGCACCAUGAGUACCAGCUUUCCAGAGCUGCCUUCCUCUGCCCACCAGCUUUUCGUGUUUAUCUUCCGUCUGCCAUGUUAGUUCUUCAUCAGGGCUGUAUUCCAGGCCUGGGAGAGCCCAGGGCAUGGGCUGUUUCAUCUGCAUAUUUCUUCCUCUUUCUUUCUAGAGCAUUUGCAAACUACGUGCAAGAAGAUUUCUGAAUAGAACCUGAAGAAGAAUCAUUUCUUUUCUAACAGCCUAACAAAAAUAUUUUAGUAUAUUUCUGUAGACUCUUAGAAGGUUUAUGGAACUGAUCUUACUUACUGCUAACCAUUUCACUUAGGCUUUCUUAAGACUGUUUUUAGUAUGUUCUUGCAGUGUGGUUUAAUCUUUCUAAAAAUUUAUUAUAGAUUGAUCUCAUUAAAUGGAUUGAAAAUUGAGCCAAAUAGAGAAUCCAGACAUUUUUUCUGUGAGUUUUGCUCUCUCUACUAGCUAUGGCUCUAAUUAAAUACUCAUAAGGCAAAACAAAGGGAACUACUUUCUAGAAAUGUAAUUCUCUACAACACAGCUGGAGAAUUGUAGGGGCCAGGAUCAAAUUUUGAAACUCAACAGAUAAUUGUUACUAUGUCUCAGCUUUUUUUUACCCUCAUUGAAGUCUGUGAUGUACAGUGUUCUGUGAAAAGUAUUCACACCAGAUGCUUUGGUGAUAAUGUGUAAUUAGGCUGUGAAAGACAGAAGCAGGGAUAUCAUACUCUGUAUAACAAACUAGUGUUUUAAUAUUAACAUUAAUUUCUGACAGUUUGAUUUCUGACUUGCAUCCUAAAACAUUGUUUAUAUCAACAAAAUCAGCUCUGUCUAAAUAUCAAAGCCUAAAUCUGUUUGGGUGUUUAAAUCCUGAAUUUUGUUUCUCUAUCAAAUAAUACACAGUUAUUCUGAGAAUUUGUCAUAUGAUUCAAUUUCAUAUUGUGGAUCAAAUGUGAUAAAAUAAUAGUGAUAAAACGUUGUUAAGUAUGUAACACUGACAAACUGGAGUACUUUUACUAACUACAUUUUUCCAGAUCCCCACUGUUAUAUUUUUCAAGGUGGAUAAAAUAUGUGCCAAGUUUAUUAGACCCGUAUGUCCCAGAUGCAUUCAUUAGCCAAGAUCCUUCCUGUCUGGAAGGGUGUUUCCAGUAUAUGUAGUUUGGCUUGAAGUUGCUGUGACCUGAUUUAGAACAGGAAACUUCAGAUUAUUAUCCCCUGCUCUGAUGGUGUUUGAACUGUUCUGGAAGAGAGAUGAUCAUGAAGUAAUUAUUAAUGACCUCUAAUUCUUUAUUCAUAUGUAAUGCAGUUUUAGAGUAUGGAGUUAUUUCUGUGGUUUCCGUAACUCCAAUUUUUACUAAAAAAAUCAAUAAUCAAUGCAAGGGUUCAUCUUUUUAUUUUUAUUUUAGAGGAAAGCAUGGCUAGCCAUGAGUUCAUACCUAUAGACAUCUCUCAAAUUGUUCAUCAUAUCAAGACAUUAGACAAGGAUAACACAAACUCUCAAACACUGUGCUUUCAUUUAGAAUUUUGGAGUAUGUGUCUACAGAAAAAAGUUUUAAGAGGUCCAAACCUGCACUAGCAAACAUUAUGAAGAAAGAGCUUUUGAUAGGGAACUUCUGGGACAGGACUCACAGAACUAACUGUGAUUAGAUGGGACAGGGAAAAAAAUCUAUUUGUAUUGAUACUGAUAAGGCAACUGGCUAAAAACUAAGACCACUGUUAAGUCUCAGCAGUAGUGUGAUUACAGUCACUUAAAUGGGUACAGUCGCAUUUUCAAAUCCCAAAACCUGCAGCACAAAGACUGAGAAACAUGUUCAUUCCUAGGCAUGGUGAAUUUAACAUCCUAGUAAAAAUCUUGAAGAGGAAUAAAGAGUUAAUUAGGACAGUGGUUAUUUCUUGGUUAUUAAUUAGGAAAUUGUUAAUUAGAAGUAAUUCAGCAUGAAUUUAUGAAGAUUAAAUCAUACCUGAUCUACCUGAUGGCCUUUGACAAUGAGAUGACUAGCUUGGUAGAUGAAGGAAGAGCAGUGAAUGGUGUUUAUCUUGACCUCAGCAAGGCUUUCAACACUGUCUCCCACAACAUCCUCAUUGACAAAUUGAUGAAGUAUGAGCUAGAUAAGUGGACAGGGAGGUGGACUAAAAACUGGCUGAAAUGCUGGGUUCAGAGGCUUGUGAUCAUCAGCACAAAGUCCAACUGGAGGCCAGUCACUAGUGAUGUCCCCUGGGGGUUGAUACUGGGUCCUUAAUGACCAAAAGGGACCACAUGAACCCUCAGCAAGCUGCAGAUGACACAAAACUGGAAGGAGGGGCUGAUAGACCAGGUGUUUGCACUGCCAUUCAGAGGGACCUCAACAGCUUGGAGAAAUGGGCAGAGAAGAACCUCAUGAAGUUUAGUAAAGGAAAGUGCGGAGUCCUGCACCUGGGCAGGCAUAACCCUAUGCCCCAAUACAGGCUGAGGGCUGACCUGCUGGAAAGCAGCUUGGUAGAAAAGGCUGUAGGGGUCCUGGUGGACAUCAGGUUGACUAUGAGCCAGCAAUAUGCCCUUGUGGCACAACAAGCCAACAGUGUCCUGUACUGCAUUGGCAGACCCUUGCUAGCAGGUCAAGGGAAGUGAUCCUUCAGCUUUCCUCAGCACUGGUAAAACACAUCUGGAGUGCUGGGUCCAGUCCUGGGCUCCCCAGUACAAGAAGGGCAGGCAUGUACUGAGCAAGUCCAGUGAAAGGCCACUGAAAUAAUUAAGGGACUGGAGCAUUUGCCAGAUGAGGAGAGGCUGAGUGAGCUGAGACUGUUAGCUUGGAGAUGAGAGGUUCAGGAGGAAUAUUAUCAAUGUGUCUAAAUACCUGCUGGGGGGAGUAAAGAAGCUGGAAGCCAAUAAAGAAGACUAGGGGAAGCAGACAUGAUGAGAGGCAACUGGCACAAAAUGAAAUAUAGGAGAUUCCAUUUGAACACAGGAAAAAACUUUUUUUACUGUGAGGGUUGUCAGACACAGGAACAGGUUGCCCAGAGAGGUUGUAGAGUCUCCAUCCUUGGAGCUAUUCAAAACCUGACUUAACACAGUCUGGGCUAUGGCUGACCAUGCUUUGAGCAGGGAGGUUGGAACAGAUGGUCCCCAGAAAUGCCUUCCAGCCCCAGCUAUUCUGUGAUUCUCUGAAACACAGAAUCAAAAAACACGAGGAAAAAUUGACAGUAAAUGCAUGUGGGUUCACUAUAAAAGUGUCAUCACAGAUCACAGCAGGGACAUCUCAGUUUGUUCUGCAACAGGCUUUCACUAAAGCUAUUAAAGAAUGUCAUAAUGACAGCUCUUACACUUAAGAGAGAUACUAACAAGAAGAAAUCCGGAAGGGUUUAAAUGAGGCCAUUUUAACAUACUGAAUCAAAUUAUAGAUGCUUUAAAGCAGCUAGAGUUUACUGAAAGAGACGGAUAGAUGUAUCAGCUUUACAUAAAUUGGAGUGAGUAUAAGAGAUGUGAACAGUGUUUUCCUUCUUACCUUCCUAGAGUAAGAAUAGGGAUAUUAUAUAUUCCUCUCAGAGAAGAGCACUGAAUAGAGAUAUUUGCCCAGUGUCAAAGAUGCUUUAGAUCCUAUUUUCUUCUGCUUCCUCUUGUUCCAGAAUGUCUGUCUUAGGCUAAACAGUCUCAGAGAAUCAGCUGUUUGAUAUGGUAUUUUUUACUACCCUAGUGCCAUAUACAGCAUAUCCUGAGAAGGGAAUAGGGAAGAAUUGCUUUGUAACACUUUCUUGAAAACUCUGGAACCUGAGAAGAAAGAACAGAAAAACUAGGCCAAAUGAAAAGCCUUCUAAUGCUCUUCAUAGUCUUACUGGUAGGUCCUGCAAUACACAGGGAAAUGGCCUGUGACUGACAAUUCUUAGGAACAGAGUUCUCAUUCUAUCAAGCUGGGUGCUACCAAUGCAGGGAAUUGGGACUGCUUUUCACUUGAGCUAUUUUAGCUGCUGAUCUGAGCUCAACACCAGCUGUGAGGAAUCCUACAUUCUUGUUAAGAAAAUGUUAUUAAAGCACAUUUGUCAAGUGAGUAGAGGUCGGCACGUGGACAUACGUAACAGUGCUACUCAUAAUGCAGUGCCAUUUUGAUAGCAAGUUGUACAGUGCAGAGUUGUUUGUCCUGGUAAGUCCUCAUCAUCGAUCAAAAUGUUGCAGAAGCGUGACACAACCAAACCAUCAAUGUGCCCAAAUAGACAAAGAUGCUUUAACUAGAAGUACACACACACUUCUUCAGACAUCAUAGAUCCUGUCCAAUCAACUUAAUUGAGACUGUUUCAGUGUUUCAAGGUCAGAGAGUCAUAAGUUUCAGAAGUUCUGAAGAUCACUUAGUUUGAUCUCUAGUCUAGCACAGGGCAAGAAAUAUGGCCUACUUAAGCAUAAGAUUAAUUGCUUUGCUGCCUUAAGGUCUAACUGCAAAAUUUACAUUAUACCAAGAGUCCGAAUAUGUUCUCUCUCAGUCAAAAGAUACAUGAUUUUCUUGUUAUGCAGCAACAUUUGGAGAUAAUUAACCAGACAUUUGUUUUGUUAAUUGCCCUGAGGCAAAAUAAACUCAUCUCAUUUCCUAAUACAACCCACUCUACUUUGCUGUUUUACUCACCAGAAAGGAAUAUAAUAGAAAAAUCUUAACAAUAGUAGUCUUUCACAGUUUUUGAGCUCUCGAAUGAUGUACCUUUAUUUUGUUGGCAAAGUCAAAAGAUCUCAAGGGAGCAGUGGUGGGCACAUAAGUAGCUCACCUUUGUAUGUUUGCACAGAGUUGGAAACAACUAUGAUGUAGAACUCAACCACCUUGGUCAUUACCAUGUUUGUCAUGUUGAAAAUAGAGCAAACACAUAAUUAAGCAAAGGGCUGAUCUUCAGCUCUACUAUUCUAUCAUCAAAAUCAUCAUGUGUGAUAUUAAAAAGCAUAUAUAAAGUAUUGAUAUAUAAAGUAAUAUAAACCUCUGCUGGAUUUUAUGCACACACACAUACACACUAUAUAUAUAUGUAUAUAGUCAUAUACAUACAUAUAUGUAUAGUGUGUGUGUGUUUCUGUAGACAGUGUAAUCAAUACAGAACUUAGAGACACAACACAUCCUUAUUUCAUUUUACCUUGACCCUGUGUCUGUUUAUUCUCUAGUUGCUUGGUGACUGCCAGGUUUGAAUUAAAUCUAUUUUCUUUCCCUACAACCCUCACUUAUUUGAGAAGGUGGCCAACAGGAAUACUGGCUUUGUUAUUUAUGUUUCCAGCUCAGAAGCUGUACCAGUAAAAACAGAGUGUCUUGGCAUGGUACAAGAAAACACUGCAGUCACAGAAAUGGUCAGUGCCACCCUUUCCCUCAUUCCCACCAGGGGUGAAUGAAAUUUAAAUAAAUAUCUUGACUCAUUCCUUGCUCAAAAUUUCUUGUUUUAGUAAAUCAUAGAUUGAUUUACUGAGUGACGUAGUAAAGAAGGCUCGGAACAUAGUGAAAUGCAUAUGCAGGUGUACAAUAGAAGCUAAAUUUAACCAAAGCUGAUUUACUAACAUUUUACAAUUUAAUGGCUUCAUCUUUUUU